rnacentral:rRNA from 1 species
GACGAACGCUGGCGGCGUGCUUAACACAUGCAAGUCGAACGGAAAGGCCCGGCGUUUGUUGGGUUGUCGAUUGCCGAACGGGUGAGUAACACGUGAGUAACCUCCCCUUGUCUGUGUGAGAACUUCAGGAAACUGGGGCGAAUACCGGAGAUGAGCUCCUGCUGCAUAUGGUGGGUUGGAGAAUGUCGGCGGUUGUGGAUGUACUCGAGGCUUAUCAGCUUGUUGGUGGGGUAGUGGCGUACCAAGGCUUUGACGGGUAGCCGGCCUGAGAGGGUGACCGGCCACCUUGGGCCUGAGAUACGGCCCAGACUCCUACGGGAGGCAGCAGUCGGGAAUAUUGCACAAUGGGCCGACGUCUGAUGUAGCAACGCCGCGUGCGGGAUGCUGGCCUUCGGGUUGUAAACAGAUUUCGAAUGUGACGAAGAGUGCGUGACGGUAAUGGGUAAAGAAGCCACGGCUAACUACGUG